GUUGCUGUGUGAUUGCUUGUUGUCUGCCCUUUUGUCACGUUGCCCUGUUUCCUUGCACCAUUUGGAUUUUGGUUUGGACAACCUCUGUUUUGGACUCUGUAUCAGCCACUCAACCGUGAGUGGAGAUGCAGCACUGUGAUGCUGCUUUCGACAUCCAGGGUAUUGGGACUGAAGUUGCAGUAACUUCAGGUACCAAAUCUGAUGACCUGUUGUCCCCUGACUGGGUACCAUUCAUCUUCACACACACAUACCAGCCAUUAAGAAGAGGAAAAGAGAGAAAGACAUGGAGAGGUAUGAGCGGUACAACAGAAUGAAGAACAAGAGGUGGGAGGAGAAGAAGGAUGCAGUGGAUGUCCUCCUAGAACUGUCAUCAAUGCCUGAUGCUGAGCCGGUGCCACUUGCUCAGGAAGAACAACAGUGUGACAACAGACCGGCAGGCAGACAUUAUUCAAUCAGGGACAUUUGAUGAACUGGCUUUUGAAAAACAUGAUAAAAAAGUGAAAGCAAUGACUGGAAUCCACAUAUUCCAAGUUAUAAGUAGUUUUAACAUUUGUGAUGUCAUUUCUACAGACUGGUACAAACCUCUCUCCCUUUUCAAUUUCAAUUCCAACUGCCAGCAGAACAUUUCAGAAUACCCUUGAGGUGUUAAAUGCAAGGCUUGUUCAGUGCCUAUGGUAUUUAGACAGGUCUUUCGCAGAUGCACCUGUAUUAAUGACUGUUUUGAGAUUUUUAUUGGAUAGCCUAGAGAUCUAAGAGCAUAGCACAGACAUACUCAAAAUACAAACAUCAUCUUACCAUGAAAUAUUUAAUUGGCAUAACACAACAAGGAACAUUUUGCAGCUUGGUUCUGUGGAAUUGGAGAUAACACGAGGGCUUGCAUCAGUACGGAUCCAUGUUGAGAGAGUUAUCGGUGAGGCAAGGAAUCAGUACACCAUACUUAAAAGUACAGUAGGAAUUCAAAUGUGUGAAGCUGAUACAUUACAAAUUUGUCAGUGCUAUGCACUGACAAAUUUGGCUCCCUCAGUUGUUCCCUUGGGCUAAACAUUAAAAUGGGUGUUGGUACACCAUUAAUGAAAUAAGGAUAUGAGAUGUCACUGAUAAAUUCAUACUUUUAUUGGAAAAUAACAAAUUUGAUGUUUGUUUGCAAAGUUCACAAAAAUCAUUUCAACAGUCAUUAAUUCUAGACAAUAACACCGUUUUCUAAAAAAGCUAGGGGAAAAAACAAGUAAAACCAAUGUUUACACAUAAUAAUAAUAAUAAUAAUAAGAUGCUAAUAUUUUUGUAUAUCGCUUCACAAACUGCCAUACUGCUCAUAUUUUUUAUUGUUCUUUUAUAUUUAGUCAAUUAUAUAAUAGACAUAUCCUCUCCCCCUGUAAUGUAUUUGUACAGCACAAAUCCAUGGAAAUGCACAUGUAUAUACCUGCCACAUUGUUUUUGUUUUUACACAUGGUUCUAUUGUUUUAUAACUUGCAAAUGUCUAUUGCAUAUUUAUAUAUUUUUACAUUUAUUUAUGUCAAGAUUUAUGUACAAAAAACUACAUUUAUAUACGGCACAAAGUAUGUGGCCUGUGUUGAAUACAACGCUUGAAACUUAUACUCUGUUCAGUUUUUUUCUGUUAUCCCUCCUUUGUUUGUCACGCAGUCGCUGCAUUUCCAACUUGACAUCUUCAAAUGUGUAGUGUUAAGUUUCAAGCAACUUUUGUGAAUGUACUGUCUUUUACAGAUUCCUGACUUAUACUCAAGUCUAUCGUCAUUAUGCAGGACAGGGACCCCGCAGUAACAGCCUUUGCAUUCAGAUGGUUUGGUAGUAUGUGAUAAUGGUAGAA